rnacentral:miRNA from 1 species
ACACAUGUUACUUGGGAAUCUUAUUAAAAUACAGAUCCUGACUCAUUGAAAUCUGUGUUAAGGCCUGAGAUUCUGCACUUCUAACAAGUUCCCAGGUGAUGCUGAU